ACUCAAAUGAAUUGACGGGGGCCCGCACAAGCGGUGGAGCAUGUGGUUUAAUUCGAUGCAACGCGAAGAACCUUACCUGGUCUUGACAUCCACAGAACUUUCCAGAGAUGGAUUGGUGCCUUCGGGAACUGUGAGACAGGUGCUGCAUGGCUGUCGUCAGCUCGUGUUGUGAAAUGUUGGGUUAAGUCCCGCAACGAGCGCAACCCUUAUCCUUUGUUGCCAGCGGUCCGGCCGGGAACUCAAAGGAGACUGCCAGUGAUAAACUGGAGGAAGGUGGGGAUGACGUCAAGUCAUCAUGGCCCUUACGACCAGGGCUACACACGUGCUACAAUGGCAUAUACAAAGAGAAGCGACCUCGCGAGAGCAAGCGGACCUCAUAAAGUAUGUCGUAGUCCGGAUUGGAGUCUGCAACUCGACUCCAUGAAGUCGGAAUCGCUAGUAAUCGUGGAUCAGAAUGCCACGGUGAAUACGUUCCCGGGCCUUGUACACACCGCCCGUCACACCAUGGGAGUGGGUUGCAAAAGAAGUAGGUAGCUUAACCUUCGGGAGGGCGCUUACCACUUUGUGAUUCAUGACUGGGGUGAAGUCGUAACAAGGUAACCGUAGGGGAACCUGCGGUUGGAUCACCUCCUUACCUUAAAGAAGC
rnacentral:rRNA from 1 species